rnacentral:misc_RNA from 1 species
GAUGAAGAACGUAGCGAAAUGCGAUACUUGGUGUGAAUUGCAGAAUCCCGUGAACCAUCGAGUCUUUGAACGCAAGUUGCGCCCGAAGCCAUUAGGCCGAGGGCACGCCUGCGUGGGUGUCACACGUCGUUGCCCCCCCAUCUACUCCUUCGGGAUUGCGGGGGGCGGAUGAUGGCCUCCCGUGCGCCUCGUCGCGCGGUUGGCAUAAAUGCCAAGUCCUCGGCGACGCACGCCACGACAAUCGGUGGUUGCGAAACCUCGGUUGCCCGUCGUGUGCGGUCGUCGCGCAUCGAGGGCUCGAAAAAAUUGCCGGGCUCCGGCUCGGCUUUCAACGCGACCCCAGGUCAGGCGGGGUUACCCGCUGAAUUUAAGCAUAUCAAUAAGCGGAGGA